rnacentral:rRNA from 1 species
UACGGAGGGUGCAAGCGUUAAUCGGAUUUAUUGGGCGUAAAGGGCGCGUAGGCGGGGAGGCAAGUUAGAUGUGAAAUCCCGGGGCUCAACUCCGGACCCGCAUCUAAUACUGCUUUUCUAGAGGAUGGAUGGAGAAAAGGGAAUUCCACGUGUAGCGGUGAAAUGCGUAGAUAUGUGGAAGAACACCAGUGGCGAAGGUGCUUUUCGAAUUCAUUCAUGACGAUGAAGCGCGAAAGCAAGGGGAGCAAACAGG